rnacentral:rRNA from 1 species
ACCAGACUCCUACGGGAGGCAGCAGUGGGGGAUAUUGCACAAUGGGGGAAACCCUGAUGCAGCGACGCCGCGUGGGUGAAGAAGUAUUUCGGUAUGUAAAGCCCUAUCAGCAGGGAAGAAAGAAGACGGUACCUGACUAAGAAGCCCCGGCUAACUACGUGCCAGCAGCCGCGGUAAUACGUAGGGGGCGAGCGUUAUCCGGAUUCACUGGGUGUAAAGGGAGCGUAGACGGCCGUGCAAGCCAGGAGUGAAAGCCCGGGGCCCAACCCCGGGACUGCUCUUGGAACUGUGCGGCUGGAGUGCGGGAGGGGCAGGCGGAAUUCCUGGUGUAGCGGUGAAGUGCGUAGAUAUCAGGAGGAACACCGGCGGCGAAGGCGGCCUGCUGGACCGCGGCUGACGUUGAGGCUCGAAAGCGCGGGUAUCGAACAGGAUUAGAUACCCUUGUA